UUGAAUUGAAGAGUUUGAUCAUGGCUCAGAUUGAACGCUGGCGGCAGGCUUAACACAUGCAAGUCGAACGGUAGCAGGAAGAAGCU
rnacentral:rRNA from 1 species